UCGUGCCGGUUGUAAAUGAAACACCAUAUUACAUAUUCAUGGGGUAUAUUACGUAAAAACGAUGUAAAAUUACUUAACGAUACUGCGAUUGCGCUCAAGCCCAGUCUGAAACAAACUGACAGCCAGCCAUGUUGAAUUUUUGCUUGUUCGGUGCAAACAUUUUUAACACCCUGUUUAUUAACAUUUUACCAUGGUAAUUCAGUGAUAAAAUAGUGCGCUGUUUGAGAAUUAAAAUAAACAUAAUUAUGGUGAACUGGUAUGACCAUCCGUAGUCGCAGAUACAGUUUUUCAAACGAAAAUCGAGGAGCGGGAACAGCAAUGUUUUGAUUCGAUUGAAUCGAAGGAAUUGUACCACGAACGAAAUCUGCUGAGCGUCAUAAAAAACAACCCAGGAAAAGGUUUCCUGGUUGUUGGUUGAUUUUGUAGCGGACCAAAACGAUGGGGAAAUGGUGCCAACUCCGAUUGCUUACAGAAAGUCCUACAAGUCCUGCCGUUUCCGGAAAGUGAUAAUCCAUCGCGAGUCUUGAUCUAGCAGUUAAAGAUUGGGCCAAACAGAAUCGAUUGUGAUUUGGUCGAGAAUAAAAUAAAUCUGAACAUCACUGUCCAAGCUGCUACAAUGGGCGAAUUCCUUUCUCUGCUUAAGCUAUCGGGAUGGGGUGGGGUUCCAAAUAUACUUAUCAAGUAACUUAUGAAGAGAAUCAUUGAAACAAAUAGUUUAUUCCAAUUGCUUAGAACUACCUAUACACAAAGAAUGAACGUGUUGCUGAUCGCGAAUUUUCUAUAGUGAAUACUGUCAUGAAAACAUUGUAUUUUAAAGAGUAUUAAUUAGGAUAAGAUAUAUGUCAAUAAAACAAUG